GUCUACGGCCAUACCACCCUGAAUGCGCCCAAUCUCGUCUGAUCUCGGAAGCUAAGCAGGGUCAGGCCUGGUUAGUACUUGGAUGGGAGAAAGACAGACUGUGGUAUGCA
ensembl:rRNA 5S_rRNA 5S ribosomal RNA